ACUAGGCGGAACCUACCGGAUCUAGAAGGACGUUGAGUUCAGAGCUCCAGAGAGUUUGCCGAAAAGCUCGGCAGUGGCAAACCCAGUAGCCUGGAGUCGCCAAGCUGGAGCUGGAAGUGGAGUUCCGGGGUUUCGGGGCCGCGGCUGCUGGGCAGCGCCUCCUCCAGACCGAGACCACAGCGCAGAAUGACCAGAAGGCGGUGGCCUUCCGGCGGAGUGUCCGCGCCAAGAGCGUGCUGCGCUGGUUCUCCACCGUGGUCCUGUAUGCCGCCUUCCUGGGGCUGGGAGUGACUGUUGCCAUAUUGGGACCCACAUUUCCAGACCUGGCAAGAAAUGUGAACCGGAAUGUCAGCAGCCUUUCUGACAUCUUUGUGGGCCGUGCCCUCGGCUACUUUUGUGGCUCUGUGCUUGGUGGGGUGCUUUUCGACUGCAUGAAUCAUUUUCUACUUUUAGGAAUGUCAAUGUUGGCUACCACAAUUGGUCUUUAUCUUACUCCUUUCUGCAAGACGGCAACAUUACUGAUUGCCAUGAUGUCUGUAUUUGGUGUCUCCUUUGGUGCUCUGGAUACAGGUGCAAAUGUCCUCAUCUUGACUCUUUGGGGGGACAAAGGAGCCCCACAUAUGCAGGCCUUGCACUUCAGUUUUGCCUUGGGUGCCUUUCUGGCUCCCCUGCUGGCUAAAUUGGCCUGGGGUACAACAGCAUCUGCUCAGAACCACACCGAAUCCGACCUUGACACUCUGAUGCUGAACCAAUCCUCCAACGGCGCCUCAGACUCCGUGUUCGCGGUACCCGAUGACAUGAAUCUGCUGUGGACAUAUGCUUCCAUCGGCACCUAUGUUUUAGUAGUUUCUGUCUUUCUGUUUGGUCUGUUUUGUAAGAAACAUUCAAGGCAGAAAAAAUCCGCGGCAUCUGCUGAGGGAGCUCGAAGGGCUAAAUAUCACAGGGCCCUGCUAUGCCUGCUCUUCCUCUUCUUCUUCUUCUAUGUGGGAGCCGAGAUAACAUACGGCUCUUACAUAUUCUCCUUCGCCACCACCCAUGUUGGCAUGGAAGAGAGCGAGGCAGCUGGCUUGAACUCCAUCUUCUGGGGAACCUUUGCAGCCUGCAGGGGCCUGGCCAUCUUCUUUGCAACACUCUUACAGCCUGGAACCAUGAUUGUGCUGAGCAACAUUGGCAGCCUGGUGUCAUGUUUCUUUCUGGUGCUUUUUGACAAGAGCCCUCUUUGUCUCUGGAUCGCGACUUCUGUGUAUGGAGCCUCAAUGGCAACCACAUUUCCCAGUGGAGUUUCUUGGAUUGAGCAAUACACCACCUUAACUGGAAAAUCUACAGCAUUCUUUGUAAUUGGUGGUACCGUGGGAGAAAUGGCCUUUCCUACAGUGAUUGGAAUUCUUCAAGAACACUACCCAGAUCUGCCAGUAGUUCUGUACACAUGUCUGGGUUCAGCCAUAUUCACAGCUGUUUUAUUUCCUGUGAUGUAUAAAUUAGCUACCUUACAUCUGUAAUGUGAUCGAAAGGAAAACAUCUCAGGGUCAGAACACUCUGCCCUUUAAGUUUGGUCCAUUAAGAAAAGAAUGAAUGGGAAGGCACAGAAGAGCACCAUGGGAUGGAUUUUGAAGUAGAUGAACAAUGCAGAGCAGUCUAUAUCAGAUGCUAGAACCCAACGUUGGUGUCCUCACCAACCUUCUCAGGCACAUUGUUUGGAUUAACAGUACAGUUCAUCUGUCUGUGAAAUACUGUGUUCAUCUGUUUACUUGUGGUUGUGACCAAUACAUGACAAGAAGCCAAGGAAA